GAUUUUUUGAAUCCGUGAAGAAAUUUCAUCAGACACCAACCCAUUAGAACUGACCAGACUUCCAAGAUAAGUGAAGUU
rnacentral:pre_miRNA from 1 species